rnacentral:lncRNA from 1 species
CACAAAAGCUCAUAUAUAUUGACUACAGAAAUUUCUUUACAUAUACAAAUAGACAAAAUACAUUAAAAUCUCUAGUGGUUUUCCACCCACUGGUCCAGCCUAUUCUUGGAUGACAUCUUCUGGGCAUACUUAAGUUACACCGACUGCAUCUAAGAAACAGAGGAGACAAGGGUGAGUACGAUAAAUCAUACUCAGCAAGCAAAUACUUCACUAUUCAAUAAGGAGCAAUGGUAUGAUGGUGUAGAUCAACAGACGAAAUGAACAAGGAAAUUAUUGGCAUCACACAUGACCGCAAGCUUCCCAACCCGGGAGUCACAGGGGUGAAAGUUCACACUUUUACGCUCUUAAGAGGGGUACUCCGACGUCGACAGUCUCGACUAGAACCACACAGGUUCCAGAAGAGCAGAGCUCUUGUACCCACUAAGACCCGAACACCUGUACCUACUGAUGUCGAUCGCUCCUACGGAUCCAUCACCGACACGUUCCUGAACAAGGUCCGUCCUUAGCGGAGAACUCAGACAGUCCCAUACCUGAACUGUGACCGGUACAAUAUGUUUACCGUCGUGACACCAAUACAAAAUAGGAUAUGUGUUUGAAUCAACGGUAGAAUCACUGUAAUAUCAGUCAAAGACUAUACGCGUAUGACUUCUCACGAGUUCCUCCAAAAUACUCUGAUUCCAUCAACAAAUGGAAUACGAGGACAACACAUCCCUCUCUCAAGGAUCAAGAGAGGAUCAAUAAGGAUCAAGGUGCAACAAUAUUAACCGAUAAUCAAAGAAGACAACAAGCGAGAUCGGGGAGUUAGGGAAAGCAGCUACUUGCCUCAGGUAAUAUGAUUUCUCCUUUAGAAUAAUAUUUUGCAAGAAGAUGAAACUCCAUCAUCUUUAUAUAAAAUCUGACGAACACACAUAUACUCAUAUUUCUUCUGAUGUAUGGCUCGGCUCUUCCCUCCAGCAGCACCUAAACGCUCUAUUCUUCUUCAAAUGUGGAUGCAUGCAUGAAUUCUUCAUCUCUCUUCUUUAUCUUUCUGGUGUCUUUCUUUCUCUCAGGCUCUCUCCUCCAGUGUUUAUGUCUUUCUCUCAGAGCUGUGCUUUGAGCAGCGUGGCCCACAGCUAUUUAUAGGAGGCAAGCGCCCGUGCAAGUCUAAAAUAUCUUGGCCUGGCUCUCACUUAAGCACUAAGAAAUGGCCACGUAUAGGACACGUAAAAGCUGACUUCUAUUUUCUAUUUCUACGUUCCUCUAGUACUUGGCCACGUUGCAGCCCACGUAGGAAACUUGGGUUUCUAGCGAUGCAGCCGAUGCAUGCAUCUACCCACGUUUGCUGCCAUUCCUCUCCUGUACAUGUAGUUGAUUCACUAGAGUUUUCAAAACACCUGACACAUGCAUGCAUAUCCUCUAGAACCAAGCCACGUUGCCUCUUCCUCAUGAUUACAUACAUGCACCUAUUUGACUUGGAGCUCUAGUACUAGGAAAUAUGUACCGGUGUAUCAUUUGUACCUGGUCUAAUUUCAUCUGUUCAAAUGCCACGUUAACUCUCUUGUAAUUUUCUAGCUUAUAUGGCCAACUAGGUAGUAGUACUUCCCAUGCCUAUAUCACAACGUGAGUGCAUGAAUGCAAGUCUAUGCGCACAUACACCUACUCUUACAUAGUGUGUAAUUUUCUAAUAUUUAAUGCAUGCAAAAAUUUACAGCUCUAUCUUAAUUCUUUGAAUCAAGAAUUUAGCAUAACUUAGCAGAUAAUACAAAUUUAAUUACUUAUCUUAAUUUAAGUCAAUAACCCAAAAAUAUGGGUUAUUACAUCCUUCCCACCUUAUAAGAAUUUCGUCCCCGAAAUUAACACUAACAUCUAUGCUUUUUUUUAGUGAUCAAAUUCCCUCCCAUCAUAUUUGGAACAGUUUAUUUGAUGCAUGCUCAAUAAUUAAUUAUAAAAUAAUGCAAAAAAGAUUUGCAAUCUUUCUACAAUUCAUGGAUAUAUCUGCUAUAACAUAAGUUGGCAACACUAAACAUUUUAUUUGGUAAAUUCAUUAACAAAAAGGAUAGAUAGUGGUAUAGCAAUUGUCCCAUUACUAGAACAUUAUUACCGAUUGUCUUAAACAAGAAAAUCUACACAAAUAUUAAGUCAUGUAUUAAUCUAACAAGAUGUCUAUUUAUUUCCCAUGCAUCCUCAAAUUUCAUCAAUAAUGUGUACACUAUAUUUUUUAUUUGCCUGGAUAUCUGUUGAAACUAUUCAUGAGUACCAACACACAAACUAGUUGAGACAAGAUAUGAAAAUAAAAUCUUCAUAGCUGUCACACAACACAAAUAUAUAGUGACAAAAUUUAUUGCCAUGAACCAUUUUAGUUUAUAUGGUUCCUCAAGAGUCUAAUAAUGGUGUGAGCACUUCUUUUUUUCUACCAAUUGAUAAAAACAUCAUAUAAACUAAGUAAAUCGCCGAAUUUAGCUGCGAUUUAGGUUGCGUGCAUCCACAUAUCGCUUAUAUGGGUUAUCACCUAAAACCUAUUUAUAGAGCUCUAGAGCAUGAAAUAGGUUUUAGGUUGCGUUGGGAUAAAUGGGUAGAUCGCCGAGAUCGGGGAGUUAGGCAAAGCAGCUACUUGCCUCAGAUAAUAUGAUUUCUCCUUUAGAAUAAUAUUUGCAAGAAGAUGAAACUCUAUCAUCUUUGUAUAAAAUCUGACGAACACACAUAUACUCAUGUUUCUUCUGAUGUAUGGCUUGGCUCUUCCCUCCAGCAGCACCUAAACGCUCUAUUCUUCUUCAAAUGUGGAUGCAUGCAUGAAUUCUUCAUCUCUCUUCUUUAUCUUUCUGGUGUCUUUCUUUCUCUCAGGCUCUCUCCUCUAGUGUUUAUGUCUUUCUCUCAGAGUUGUGCUUUGAGCAGCGUGACCCACAACUAUUUAUAGGAGGCGAGCGCCCGUGCAAGUCUAAAAUAUCUUGGCAUGGCUCUUACUUAAGCACUAAGAAAUGGCCACGUAUAGGACACGUAAAAGCUGACUUCUAUUUUCUAUUUCUACGUUCCUCUAGUACUUGGCCACGUUGCAGCCCAGUAGGAAACUUGGGUUUCUAGAGUUAUUAGCAUAUUUUUUUUAGAGCUGUAGAGCAUGAACAGUGAGACAAACAAGGAAUAAUGAUACAUCUCUAUGCGGCUGUAGCUCCGAACUGUAUUUUAUAAUUAAUUAUUGAGCAUGCAUCAAAUAAACUGUUCCAAAUAUGAUGGGAGGGAAUUUGAUCACUAAAAAAAUAGCAUAGAUGUUAGUGUUGAAUUUUGGGGACGAAAUUCUUAUAAGGUGGGAAGGAUGUAAUAACCCAUAUUUUUGGGUUAUUGAUUUAAAUUAAGAUAAGUAAAUUUUUAUUAUUUUGUUAACAUAAAUAAUUGAGCGAAGAAGACAUGCUAGAUUAUUCUUGCAAGUAAUUAAAUAGAACUGUAAUUUUUGCAUGCGUAAAAUAUUAGAUGGAAAUGGACCAGGUACAAAUGAUAGAUUGGUAGAUAUUUCCGAGUACUAAAAUUCCAAGUCAACUAGGUGCAUGCAUGUCAUGAUGAGAAUGCACACGUAUGUAUUGUUCUUGCUAGCUAAGUAAAAAUCUAUGUGUACGUGGAGGUUGGCGUGGCAUGCAUGUAGUCUCUUGGACAGUCUAGUCCUAUACGUGGGCUCUUCCUAUGGUGCCAGGUUUAAUUAGGCCUUUGCACUAGCCGUAGGUGCAGCAGCCAAAUCAUUUUUUACCUAGCUUCAAGGGCCAAGGGUCAAGCGGCAAGAGUCACUGCGGCUGAGAUAUUUUAGCUAGUGACCGACUGUCAGCUCCUAUAAAUAGAACGCUCCUGCUGCUGCUCAAAGCACGACUCCGAGAGAGAAUUAGAUACUAGAGGGGUGAGUAUGAGAGAGAAAGAGGGUAAGAGAGAUGAAGAAUUCAUGCAUGCGCAUACAUGUUUGAAGUGAUAUGGAGAGAGGUGUCGAGCCAUCUGUCUAAAGAAGAAUAUUAGCAUAUGUAUGGUUCAUCAGAUUUUUAUACGAUGGAUUAUUACUUGCUGGCCGAAUAUUAUUCUAGAGUAGAAGUCUUAUUUUCUGAGGCAAGUAGCUACUUUACUAACUCUGAAAUCCGUUAUCUUCCUUUGAUUAUCUAAUUGUAUUGUUGCACCCUGAUCUUUAUUGAUCUCUGCUGAUCCUUGUUUCAAUUGAGAGAGGGACAUGUUACCCUCGUAAUCCAUUUGUUAAUGGAACCAGUGUGUUUUGAGAGGAACUCAUGUAAAGCCAUGAGCGUAUUGAUAUUCCAGUGAUCCUAUCGAUGAUUCAAACACAUAUCCUAUUUUGUAUUGGUGUCACGACGGCAAACGUAAUGUACCGGUCACAGUUCAGGUAUGGGACUGUCUGGGUUCUUCACUAAGGACGGACCUUGUUCGGGAACGUGUCGGUGAUGGAUCCGUAGGAGCGACCGACAUCAGUAGGUCCAGGUGUUUGGGUCUUAGUGGGUACAAGAGCUCUGCUCUUCUGAAACCUGUGUGUUUCUAGUCGAGACUGUCGAUGUCGGAGUACCCCUCUUAAGAGCGUAAAAGUGUGAAAUUUCACCCCUGUGACUCCCGGGUUGGGAAGCUUGCGGUCACGUGUGACGCCAAUACCUCCCUUGUUCGUCUUUGAUUAUACUAUUUAUUUUACACAUCUCCAGCAAAAUAUGUUCCAGUGAUUGUUACCUUGUUUAUCCUUUGGAUUCAGUUUGUUUGUUGAUCUACAUCAUUUUACCAUUGCUUUUGUUGAAUAAUGAAGUAUCUGCUUGCUGAGUAUGAUUUAUCGUACUCACCCUUGUCUCCUCCGUCUUUUUAGAUGCAGCCGAUGUAACUUAAGUAUGCCCAGAAGAUGUCAUCCAAGAUUAAGCUGGACCAGUGGGUAGGAAGCGACUAGAGAAUUUAAUGUAGUUUGCCUAUUUGUAAAUGUAAAGAAAUUUGUAAACCAAAUAUAUGAGAUUUUGUGAUCCACUUAGUCACGCAAGGCAUGAUAAAGCAGGCAUAAACCAGCAGUGGAUCACAAAAGCUAAUAUAUUUACUAUACAAAUUCCUUAACAUCUACAAAUAGUUGAGUAAAGACAUCAUAUUCUCUAGUCGCUUCCCACCCGCUGGUCAAGCCUAGUCUUGGAUGAAGACAUCUUCUGAACAUACUUAAGUUGAACAUACUUAAGUUACCUCGUUCGCAUCUAAAAAAAAGAGGAAGCAAGGGUGAGUACGACAAAUCAUACUCAGAAAGCAGAUACUUCACUAUUCAACAAGGAGCGAUGGUAUGAUGGUGUAGAUCAACAGACGAAAUGAACAAGGAAAUUAUUGGCAUCACACAUGACCGCAAGUUUCCCAACCCGGGAGUCACAGGGGUGAAAUUUCACACUUUUACGCUCUUAAGAGGGGUACUCCGACGUCGACAUUCUCGACUAGAACCACACAGGUUCCAGAAGAGCAGAGCUCUUGUACCCACUAAGACCCGAACACCUGGACCUAAUGAUGUCGAUCGCUCCUACGGAUCCAUCACCGACACGUUCCUGAACAAGGUCCGUCCUUAGCGGAGAACUCAGACAGUCCCAUACCUGAACUGUGACCGGUACAAUAUGUUUGCCGUCGUGACACCAAUACAAAAUAGGAUAUGUGUUUGAAUCAACGGUAGAAUCACUGUAAUAUCAGUCAAAGACAAUACGCGUAUGACUUCUCACGAGUUCCUCCAAAAUACUCUGAUUCCAUCAACAAAUGGAAUACGAGGACAACACAUCCCUCACUCAAGGAUCAAGAGAGGAUCAAUAAGGAUCAAGGUGCAACAAUAUUAACCGAUAAUCAAAGAAGACAACAAUAAAGUGAGGUCGGGGAGUUAGGCAAAGCAGCUACUUGCCUCAGAUAAUAUGAUUUCUCCUUUAGAAUAAUAUUUUGCAAGAAGAUGAAACUCCAUCAUCUUUGUAUAAAAUCUGACGAACACACAUAUACUCAUAUUUCUUCUGAUGUAUGGCUUGGCUCUUCCCUCCAGCAGCACCUAAACGCUCUAUUCUUCUUCAAAUGUGGAUGCAUGCAUGAAUUCUUCAUCUCUCUUCUUUAUCUUUCUGGUGUCUUUCUUUCUCUCAGGCUCUCUCCACCAGUGUUUAUGUCUUUCUCUCAGAGUUGUGCUUUGAGCAGCGUGACCCACAGCUAUU